UAAACUCCCGAAUUAUUAAGAGCAUAAGAUUUUUAAUACCUCUACUAGGUUAAGGUUGUUAGUCCACUUUGUUAUUUAUGAGGACUAAAUUGUGGUACUUCUGGAAAAAAAGCUCCCUUUCAAAAAUACAUUCCUGAGAGUUGACAAGUUAGAACAACAUUCCUAUCUGUGAUUUCUUCUUUGCUUUGAAGUUUGGUAGUUUGGGGUUUUUUUUAUCCUAUCACCUUAUUUUUCCUAGGUUAAUAGGAAUGAAAUAUUAGUAUUUAGGUUUCCCCCCUCCAGGUGUAAUUACAGUUGAUAUGGAAUUGCAGUCCCAAAAUGAAGUUUUAGUACGAAAUUUAAGAACCCUGUUUCAUUAAAUAAUUUAAUUUUUUGUUCUCAGUUAGUAGAAAAAGAUGGUAAUUUCCCAUGUCUGUUCCCUCUCAAAAUUUUAAAUAGCUGGUUAAGCGCAUGUAAUUUUGUCCAGAUUAAAUAGUUUUAGAAUUUCUGAGUUUUAAAUCACAUAUAAAUAAAUGUAUUAUUCAUGGUUUGGUAGCCAUACUUCAUUUCUAUGCAGUCUUGGGGGUUUUGCAUUAUUUUUCUCCAUUUUAAUAUAUCUCAGUACAUUUAAAUGCAUAAUUUGCUGCUUAAAACAGUUGCCUUAAAGUUGGAAAACACCUUAUUUGACAGCCAAAUGGUGGUAUAAUUAAAGCACCUCACCCUUCUUUACCUUGGCUACUAUCAUCACAUGAAAUCUCUCAACCCAUAGGCAUUUGGGGAUAGCCCUGUGGAGAUACUGUGUACUGAUAAUCACCAGGUCAUACCUGCUCUCACAUACACCAUCGCUUUUGUCAUUAGCUGGGUCAAGAGGAAUCUUGGGAGAUUAAAGGUGGAUUACUUUGGGUUAUGUUAGUGUGGCACAGCUGGAUGUAAGAUCUUUCUAAUAGGUGUAAAAUGGAAGAACUCUGGGGGGGUAAGCCGAGAAAGCAAGCAACAGCAUAACAGGAUAAGAUGUUCAGUAUAUAAUUUACUGUCAUCUGAUGUAGUCUGUCUCACGAUAGUAAGGGCAUGAAUAGCACAGAAGAGCUAAGUUCUUGGAAGGAUAAAAAAAGUGGUUUAAAUGUGUGUUGGUUCUUUCAAAGUAGCUAUUUCAGCCUGAGUUUAUUACACGGUCAGAAACUAUGUAUGCAGGGUUUGUUGGUUGGUUGGUUUUGGUAUGGUUUGGUUUUUUUUUGCCCUGAAAUUAGGAGUCAGUGCUGUGAUUCAUGUUACAUAAAUCACAGAAGCUGUGCAGGUGCAGAAGUUGGAUUAGUUAAUCACUUUUUUUACACCUAAUGGCAAAGCUCCUUGUUUUGCUUACUCAUUUUCUGUCAGCUAUUUCAUUUAUCUUUUAGCACUGUUACGGAGAUCUGAGCUGCUAAGCUGCAGGGGUAGGAAGAUGACGCAUCUGGGAGACUGGCAAAACCACUGUGAGGAAGGCAUGGCAGGAGCACGGAACAGUUGUCAGAAAGGGAAGUACCUUUUCUAAAACUUCGGAGACUGCUGCAAAGGAUUCCAUUAUAAAAGAAAUGUUUAAUUGAAAGAAUGGAGAGGAAACCCUGUACAAUAAGAAAUUAUUGGAAAGAGUUUUCACAUUAUACCUUUACAGAAAGGCUGGGUAGAUUGUACACAUAAGUAUAGUUAUUAGCUAAAAUGCUUUUGCACAUGUUCAGAUGAUAAUCAUAUCCUUGGAAAAUGAAGAGUACUAUACAGAAUGCUGUUGAAAGUGUUCUGUAAUUUGGGUAUGAAAAAAGGCACAGCUUGAGUAAUAGGGACUAGUGUGUGAUAAUCAAAUUAAUUUAAAACUAUUUUCGUUCCCAUGUGGAUUUAGUUUUAGAAAAUAAAAUUGAUGAAUCAUGAUCAGUGUGGAAAUCUUGAAAUUACAUGAAUUAUCAGUGUCACAGGACAUUUUACGAUUUUUAUUUUGUGUAAAUGUACUUACCACUUAUUUAAUGUUUGGACUACUUUCUUCUUUCUGCUUUUUCUAUAGAAGAAAGUAAAAUGAACAUUCACUUGCUUUGUUCACUUUGCCCAGUCCAUGCAGGUCCUAAAGAAAAGCUCUUGAAUAUUAGUAGAAGUGGUGAAUAUAAGUUUUGAUCACAACUUGAGACACUGAUCUGCAAGCUGUGUAUCCAUAGUGAUAUGCCUUUUCAUGGUGAAUAUUUUUUAAAAAAAUCAUUGAUACUGUAUGGAGUAUGCAGAUUUAAUAUCACAUAUAAGUAUUUAAAUGUGGUCCUAAGACUUGGUUCAUUGGAGGCUGACAGUAAUAAAAAUCAAACCAACCUUCCUCAACAGCAGCAUAAUCGUGGAGCUCUUUGAACUCUAUAGGCAUAUUCUGAUUUGUCUGAAAGACUUCAUAGCAAUUGUAGUGUUUAGUAUGUGUAACUGGGGACUUACGCUAGUCAGAAAUGAGUUGAGGUGUCAUCUGAGACUCAUGAGGGACUGAUCCAAUGUGAAUACUUGAAUAAUUCCUUUUAAAAAACCCAACAAAACAAACCAGAGUAGCAGCGGACACUGUUAUUCAAAACCAGGUUGCUCAUGUUAGCAUAGUUGUUAGACUAGUUGGACAAGCAAGGAAAUUGGAUUCAGGUGUGUCCUCAUUCAUAUCAAUGUCUCUUCCUUCCCAUGACAGUAUGCUAAUCACAAGGCCAGUGUCAAGGCUGGAGGAAAGUGAGAAGGGAGGUAGGGGCAAAGUCCCCUUCUGCUUCCUCAGUUGAAACCAAUUGGAUUUAACAAAAUGCAAAAUAGAUGUGUUCAGAUGCAGGGUACAACAUGGUUGUAAUUUAAUGACUGUGAUACCCUGGAAAGGGGGGACGAGGGAGUAAGUUGCUUUGAAUUUAAGUCAAUUCAAAAGUCUGGUUUUGGAUUAUGUUAAAUAAUCAUGAGAAAAGAAACAGGGCUAAUCUUGAGAGCUAGAGCACAAAACCUGGCAGGUGCUGUAACUGCCUGGGUGUUGCACAACAUGCCCUCUCCCACAACAGCUGUGUUUCAAAAGGGGUGAGCCAUGCUCAGUUCUUCAAAGGCUACUGUAGGCACUGCCCUCAGGAGAGUACUCCAAUUUUUGGCUUCUAAACAGAUGAAGAUGCCACUCUUGUGGUGCUGACUCAGACACCUUGGCUUUAACGGGGUGACGGCCAUGCCUUCCCGUACAGCAUUUCCGCUUGGCUUGGUGACUCCUAGUUAGCAUGUGUAUUUUAAGAGUUCCUAAUUCGUGCUUAAUUUUGAAAACUAUUUGGAUGAAGUACUGGCUGUGUAAAUUUUAUAUCCAGAAUAUUUUGCAUAUGUUAUUUGUAACUAGAGAUUUUCCUGGGUUAUUUGUUGUUUUUUUUUCCCCCUUAUUUCUUUACACACAGUAAUAUGUCUAGCAGCACCACUUUUUCUGAAUGAAUAUGAAAAUGACUGGGAGUGAUUACUUCUUUUUUUUUUUUUUUUUUUUUUAAAGGUAGUCAAGAGGCAACUUGUUUAUGAUAGAAGUAGGGUUGCAGGUAUGGGAAAAGCAUCCUACCUACACUUAAAAAUUAAAUCAGUGCUACCACGAUUAAUGGGAAUUGACCCUGAAGCGUUUUUGGAUGUUAACAGCUAUUCUGUUAAAAUUUAUCAAAAAAAAGAAAAAGUCAAAUGAAACCUUUUUUACUUACAACCAUGCAAACUGAUGAGCUUUAAAAUUUGCACGUUUUAAUAGGCAGAAAAUGGUUAUUACUUUCCUAAAUUUUUUUUUGUUAAAAAGUAGAAGACAAAUAUGUUGUCUAUUUGAGCAAGCCAGUUUAGCAGGAAGUCUCCUGAGUGCCAGAUUUCUGCCUCCUAUGCUCACAAAAGUAGGGCUUCAUUUUGCAAGUUGAUUUAUUCAUUCAUUUCCCUGACUAGCUAGGUUAAAGGUUGAAGGAAUAAAGCAUUUGGUCAUGAUGCAAUUUUAUGAUACAGUUUAAUUUUAACAGAAGCUUUUAAACUUUUCUAAGUUUUUGUGAAAAUCUCAUUAAAAUGGCAAUAACUGAGAGAUUGUACUUGUAGAGGUCUUUCCUAAUAAUGUGAAGAGAAACAAAAUACUCCAGAGAAGAUAGACAUUUUGAAGCUUAUUCUUGUGAGAGUUUUUAUUAAGUGUCUCUUCAUUCUUUUUAGAAGACAUCAGAAAUGUUGUGGCAUGCGUUGUUUGACUCUGUUAUUGUUCCUGAUGUCUUUUAUUCCUGAAUGAGAUUGGUAGUAUUUGUCUGCAGAUGGUUUGAUAAUUUUUGAACUGCAAUGAUAGCAAUUGUGCAGGUCAAACUGAAUUGUAUUUUCAUGAGUGACCUGGCUGAUUUUGUUGUCCCAGCUGGUGUGCCACAGAACUAUCACUAUAACUGUGACUUCAGCAAUACUAGAAUAGGGCUGUCUUCAUCAGUCACAAAGCUCUGAACACUGGGCGUACUCAGCAUGCAGAACAUCUAACUCACUGCUUACAUAGUGUAGUGUCAUGCUGCACACAGGUGUAUGCUCUGCAGAGUCUGUGCACAGUUGUAUUUAAGCUGCCAUCAGCCCUGCUGAGCAUGGUAUUCAAAAUGGGGUUGGGGCCUGGUUCAUUUGGAUCCAUGUCUAAGAUGGCAAUUAGAGCAGGACAGGCUUCUAAAUGCGUGGAAUAUCUAAUGCCUAUAUGUACUUCUCUAGAGUUGCAGCUGACAUCAAUGUGUAUGUGGUUCCUGAUCAUUGAUAGUCUUGUGUGUUGCCAUACAAGUUUGAUGAAGUUGUUUCAGGUUUCUAUCACAGAUGCUAAUUGCAACUUUAUGAAUUCUUAGGGUUACAAUCUUGAUAAUGUGGGAAACUAAGUAAAUCGAGAAGGGAAUGCACUAGUCUUUCUCCCUUAUCUCUUAUUUGCAUUAUUAUCAAGUUUUGAAUGCAUGCAGCAUAUCCUCCUAUGGUUUAAACAUUGUGCAACACGUAUUGUAGUGGUGUAUUUGUGUUUAGACAAUUCUCUGUAUUUUACUUUCUGUCUUGUGUUUGGAGACAGGGAAGCAGCUAGGGAAGAAGAAAAAAACUGUCCAUACCAUGUUAAAACAUUUAAAGGAAUGUAAUAUUGAACACCACUUUUUAAAGUCAGGCACUGCUGAUUGUAAAUAAGGGUGGCAGAACAUGGUUGUAGUAGAAGAACCAAUGAUUGAAUCUACAGUAGCAUUUCAUCUAGGAGAAAGUGUUGUGGUUUUGGUGUUGAAGUGAAUCUCUUGAACAUUAAUUUGAUUGCAUUGAAAUAGUCUCAGACUGGGUAAACUGGAUUAUUUUUGGGUAAGACUAAGUCUAAAAUAAAAACUGAAAUAUGGUAUGUUCUGUUUGAAAAACUUUUUUUUACUGUGAGGGUGACCAAACACUGGUACAGGUUGUCUGGAGAGGCUGUGGACUCUCCAUCCUUGGAGUUAUUCUGGACAUGGUCCUCGGCGACAAGCUCUGGGUGGCCCUGCUUGAACAGGGCAGUUGAACGAGAUGACUUCCAGAGGUCUGUUCUAGCCUGAACUAUUCUGCACUCCUGUGAAAUCAGGUGAUGUAUUUUGGGACUCCAUCUGCUAUUGGAGUUUCAGUCUGCAAGACUGGUCUAGAGCUAGUGGAAAGUAAAACAUUUCCCAAAGCAUGUAGCAUGGGCAUCCAGUUCUCAACAGCCAUUGUCUUAGUUCACAGACUUUCUGUUGCAAAGUGCUACUUGCUAAUGCAGACAUAGCCACUAACAUCACGUAGAGCUGAGGUAGCAAGUCCUUUGGUGUUGACUGCUUUGCUCAGGAGCAGAUCGGUAUUGCAGAAAGCGCAAGCCAAAAGUUGACACAAUUACUUUGUAUGUUGGAUCUAUACAGACAUAGUCCUUUGAGCCUUUUUUUUUGCAGGCUGGAAGACUGUGGGAUUUGACUAUUGGCAUCCGAAAGAUAGGCACCAGGCCAAUCUGAAUGCAUAUAGCAUUGGAAUAUCUAGCCAAUCUAAAUUUGUAGACUUUCCUGCUAGUUGGUUGAUGAGUUAGCACACCCUAGACUCUUUCCAUUUAGCUCCUCAUUGGUCAAUUAUAUAUUCUUUCUGGCUUGCAAAGGUAAGUAGAAGAAAUGAGUAGGGGAAGGUAACACUGAGGUUGAGUGGCACAGGAGGCAGGGGAAGAGAUGAAAGUAUUGCACUAGAUGGUGGGAGAGGAUAUGUGUAGCUUAGGGUUGGUAUGAUGGUUUGUCUGCACACUCAAGUCCAGAGCUCCUGCUGUGUAUAUUAGGCAAUGAAAUAAUGCACUGACAUGCUCUGACUGUUCAUAACAGGACUCCCAGGGCAAAAUGCCAUCCAUGCUUACUCACCCCUCUGGAUAGCAUUGUCUGCAAUUUUUCUCAAGCUUUUUCUACAGGUAUUUGGUCUUGGUGGUGCAGAGGGACCUGGAAUUCUCUAAGAAGCUGUGCUUCAGGAAAGGGUGACUUUGCUCCAUCUAUAUAAAAGCGCUGCUGCAAAGAGUAAAUGCAGAAAAAGUCUGGAGCUUCCCUCAGGCUUAGAGCCAAGUGCAGACUUGCAGCUGAUUGUGAGACAUCUGUCAUCAGCAGGAGUUGCCAGUGGUGGAGCUGGGGGCUACAAAUGAGAGUGACAGUAGUACAUGAUGACCUAGUGAAAGAAAAGGAUUUUCUAGGACAAAGGGUAGUAGUUCGUGACAAGAAGGCAAAAUAAACUAUGUACCCGAAAGAGGAUGAUCGAGUGUGGGGUUGCGAAGGGGAACUAAAGAGGACAAAACCACACCAAGAAAUAAGCUGUGAGUGAGUAAGACUGGGGACAGAUAGUAAAAUGCAUGCAUUGCUGAGAAAGGAAUGAGCGUGGCGAGAAAACAAGUAGGAACUGAAGAGCGAAAAAGCAAGGAAGUGAAGGAUACAAAACCCCAGAAAAUACUCACUGCAUUGAGGAAAGAAAAAAAACCCCAUAAAAAUGUAUUUUCAAUACUACUUUUCUAUAUGGUCUGUUGCUAAUGUUGUCAGAAUUAAUGUUAAACAGUUUAAAUGGAAUGGUGUCUGAGAUGAAUUCUCUUCAGCUGUAUGUCUCCUAGGCAAAUAUGUGAGAACUGCUGAUCUGUUCAUCUUGUUCAGAUCACAUGAAUGUGAACACAGCAGAGAUUUGAUUUGGUGUCCCUGUCUACAAAUACAGAGGGGAGGAGAAAAAAUGCAAAGAGAAAGCCUCCCCUGGGAAGAAAGGGAGUGAUCCCAUUGUAAAUGAGUCAUACAACAUCCCUUCUGGAGGCGUGUUGAAAUUUCCCAUGGGAGGAAGAAGAAUAAACAAAGAUUGUCUUUCCCUGCAGCUGUCAUAAGUCCUUGCACAACAAUACUUACCGUGGAAAGCAAAUGCAGCACUUGGUGGGAAGACCACGUGUUUUUAUGAGGCAUCCUGUGCACAGGGCAGAAAACCCACAAGCUAGCCAUCACAUCGUCUCUUCUCUGCAAGCAAAUAUGCAGCUUCUGGGGGGCAGCAAGUAUGGGCAGCAACUGUGCCCAGGUCACGCAGCUCUGCGGAAGCUGCUCAGAGGAGAAGCAGUAAUCUGCCUGCUUUGUGACAACUGCGCUUCAAACAUUGCAAUGGACCAUUUGAUUACCAACUGUGUGCUCAGGGAAAGAAGAGUUCCUGUGUGAUGGAUCUGAAUGAACAGCCUACCCGUGCCCAGCUGUACCCUUGAUGGGAGGUAGCUCUUGAACUACGAACUUACUGCUGGAGCUGGCUACCCAAGACGUACCAGCCAUUUUUUACUUUGCUACCUGCUUUAGACCAUAUCUUUUUGCUCUGAAAGAAGAAAUAAGGUAACAAUGAAGACCUUUGAAAAAUCAUUUAGCAGACUACAAGUCCCCUGGUGCGUAGAACAAGGAAGAAAUCAUGGAGGUAACUUCUGCCCCAAUGGAUCCCAUAUCCAAAAUCUUCUCUGUAAACAGAGCCUUUCACUUAGUACAACUGGAUCAUAAAGUGACAAGUUUUCCCCUAGAAUUUAGCCUAAAGCUGCUUCUGGUCAGAUUAACUCUGUUGUAUUCAGCUGCAGACCUGGAUUAACCCCUAAGAAGCUGUGUAUUGUUUCUCUUCAUUGCAUAUAUCCCCAUGUCUCCUAUUAUCUCCUUUUUACAUCAGACAAAGUGAUACAAAGUUUAAUCCAUGAUAAGCUUUUUUUUUUCUUUCAGUUUUGUGUAUCUGUAAAGACUUCUUCUUUGACAGUUGUUUCCCCUUUUAAUGCAAACAGCCCAUCCAAGUAGAAAACUUUGUCAAUAGACUUUGCUAACCUGAAAUACAGAGGAGAUAGUUAGCAGAAGUGUCCUUUUUGCAAGGACAAAGAUGCCAGUGCUAAAUCCAUUGUCCCUUAUUGUUGUCACUGUUGAGUGCAAAUUGAAAACACAUACAUAUAUGUAUGAUACAUACAUAAGACACAUAGUUCUUGUGAUGGACCUACUACCAGGCUGUAUUUUUUCAGUGAAAAACUGUCUGUUGUGAAGUUUUCUCAAUGUAAAAGUAUAUUAUUACUUUUUAAAAGCUUUUUCAAAGCUGCUUUUAAAAACUGCUGUUUCUCUGGUGCAACUGACAGGAGGAACUAGACAGAAACCCUGAUGAAAGUGGAUGCUAGAGUAAAGAAGGGAAUGGCAUCACUUACAUACCUACCUAACUACCUGCUUAUUAGGAAAAACAGAUGUAGAAAUAAUAUAACACAGAUCACAUUUUUGAUUGGGAUAGUACAGCUCUGUUCGGUCAGUGAUGAUUUGUAUAACAACUUGCUCCCAUAUUGCUAUUAUUAUAUGGUGACAUAAUAUGAGAUAUUAGCAAAUCCAUCACUUUUUCAAAAACUAGCUAAGAUCCAAGGAAGCUUCACUGGCCUCAUCACAUGAGUUUUGCUGAGGUCUCUGCAAAGCUGUGCUCUCCAUGGGGUAGGGUUAGGGCUAAACAGAGAUAAUCCUGUCAAGACUUGAAGAUGUUUUCAGAAACUCAAACCAGGGCACACUACAGCAGAUUAUCCCCUGGCAUUUCACCUCCAAGGCAAGCAGACAUGGUAUUGAGAGAUGAGACAUAGCUUUGAAAGGCAUAUAUUAGAAGUUUCUAAACUGGCUGGUAUUAGCCCUACUCUUGCAAAUUUUCUGCAAUCUUUGGAUGGCACUGUUAUACACCUGGCACAUGCGGGCUGUAUUUCCAGAUUUUUUGACGAUCUUCAUAACUUUGUACCAUCACUUGUUACAGAGCUUUAUUUUUUCUGAUAUUUUCAAAAUGGUUUUUGUUUAGCAUACUUUUACAUUAAAAUUUUUCACAUUUUCUUUUUUUUUUUUUUGAAGAAAAGUAAAUAUUGAAACUAUCUUACUGUCAUUUUCAGAUUUUGUUUUUUACAAAUGAAAAUAAACUGUUUGGGAGCACAGAGAGGCUGGAAUUUCCCUUUUUUUUUUUUUUUUUUUUUUUAAAACUCUGGUUUUGACCAAAAUAUUUUGUCAGAAAUUUUUAAACUAUCAGCAGUUCUUAGUUUGAGUAUAUUAAAAGACUUCAGAAAGAAUUUCUCUAGAGAUCUAUCACAGGAUGGUUCUUUUGAAGUCCAAAAUGCUAGACUGUAAUGUCUCCUGUUCUUGUCAUCUCGAAUUCUAUAUAUUGUCAUUAGGUCCUUUUUAUUAUUUCUAAACCACUUACAUAGUGCACUCUUUUAACCAGUUCUAUUCAGGGACAUCAGAAGACCUUCUGGUCUUCAAAAAGAGUUUAAAUAUGGAGAAGUCUAACUAUGAAGCAUAUUUCUGCCUGAGCUCUGGAAAGAUCAUUCUGAAUAGCAAGGAGGAUGGACUGGACAUACCCAGAAAACAGAAUAGUGACAAGGUGAGGUUGCUAUCAUUGACAGGGCAGUGGAGAGUAAGAUGAAGGUAUAUCAGUAGCGAGAGAUAAAAUUGUACAAGCUUUUGAUUGUGCAUUGUAAUAGUGUUAGUCUGGCAUAGUGGGAAGAAGAAACCAUGAUACCCUUCCAAGGAGAUGGGUGUGCUGCUCAGCUGAUAAGCUGAACUCAGUUUGCAUGGACUGAGUUGAGAAAUACCUACCUUAGGAAGAACAUGGUGCUGCAGACAUCAAGGUGCGACAUGGUGAUUGCUUCAACUGCAAAUGGCAGGGUGGAAGAAAGCAUUAUAGAGAUGAUGAGAAAAAGGAUAGGUAGCUGUAUUUGGCUGCCACAUGUAAUCCUUUCAGGUGUGACAUUCUCAUAACAAAAAUGUGUGAAAAUCCUCUCUUUCCUUGAAAGAAAUUUUUUGUUUGGCAACCAGCUCUCCUGUUUCUUUCAUGUUAGCUACAAAGGAAUUAAAUAACCAUGCAAAUUUAUGAAGCUGCCUGAAAGGAAUGAAUGUGCUGCAGCUUGCACCUCCAUACAGAAAUUAGAGUACUGCUGUACUUCGUUUUUUAGAAGGGUUGUGCUAAUCAUCUCAAUCAUAAGGUUUUCCUGAACUGUGUUGAUAACAAUAUCAAUGCAGCUGUCAAAAGUUAAUGUUAAAAAUAAAUAAAAAUAAAUCAAUGAGAAGAAACACCCAAAUAUCAAAGGCUGCCAGACACCGCUAUAGAAACACUGUGUCAAAAAAUUUCUAACCUUUGGAUUGCUAGAAACUGUGAUGAAAGGGUAAGGAUUUUAUUAUCCUAAACACGAUAUUUGCUACUGGUGGUCACUACUGGGAACAAAAUAACUAAGCCAUUGAUAUGAUCCAGUUUUUUUGCUCUUACUUUCUUACUCAAAAAAGUGGAAUUAAAUGCAUGUUAUAAAUCAUUCAACAGCUGGUUUGGUCACCUAAAGAAGUAUAUGUAUUGAUUGAAUUAAUUUUGUGAUAUGCCUGUGUUCUACAGUCUCUUGCUUCUGUUAUUGAUUGCUGUAUUUGUAAAAUUGUCAUGUGCAACUGUAAAAUUAGUGGCACUGAUUAUUUUACUGGUCGAAUAUUAAAUUAAUUUUCUAAUGUGUCCA